CCCCUUUCGGGUUUCAUUCCUUUGAAGAACGGUUUUUCAAGUGAUUAUCUUCCUUUUUACAAGCUUUUCGUACCGGAAAAAUUCGUGACUUUUGAAAUUUUUCGCGUUUUCCGUGUCGCAUAAUACUCAACAGUUAUUCCGACUCAUCGUUUAUAAAGAAGAACAAUUAAGCUGCCAUUACAAAAUGCAGAUUUUCAACGGAAGGAAAGUACGUGAAAACUGGGACUGAAGUUGAACGGAAGAAAAAUCGAGAAAUUGUUUUCAAUUUCAUCAUGAAGUCGUGAAGGGAAUUACAUCAAAAAUGUAAAAUAGUGGAAACUGUUGUUCAUCACAUCCGGUAUGGAUUGCAACGAAAACAGAUUUGAGUUUCUUCAAUAAGACUGACAAGAAAGAAAAUAAAGAUGAUGACGAUCAGGAUCGAUGAGUGAUUCAGGUGAAGAAUUCGAAGAUGUAGGAAAAGUCAAUAGCGGAAACUUCGGAGAAGAAAAUGCAGAUGAUAAUCAGAAGGGUGACCACCAGGAAGGUGAAGAUGUAGAAAGAGUCCAUAGCGGUUAGUUGAAAGUUUGCUUAAACUGUAAGUUGGAUAAUAUAGACUGAAUCAAGUUGGAUGAAUGGAUUGAAGAUAGGCUACAAUGAAAUUUAAUGUCCACCCUCUGGCAUCAUCUGGGUAAGAAUACUGUUUCAAGCAUAAGACAAAUCUCUCUUAUGAGAACUGCAGGAACUCAACAUUGCAUCUUCGAAUCCUUCAAUCUUCAUCAUUAAAGGUUCAUUAGGCAAUCGAAUCACCUGUCAAAAUAUUUCAAUAUGGCGGUUGGUUGGCAAACAACGUUUUCCUUUCCUAAUUUGGAACUUUUGGAAGCUUUUUCUGAAUAUUUGACAUUGAUUGGUGUUAAAUAUCGUUUAGUUUUUUUGAUAUAUAUAGUGAAUAGUGAGAACUAAGUUUUA